AGAGUUUGAUCCUGGCUCAGGAUGAACGCUGGCGGCGUGCUUAACACAUGCAAGUCGAACGGGAAACCCAUUUCGGUGGGUGGAGAGUGGCGCACGGGUGAGUAACACGUAGCUCAUCUGCCCUCAAGCGGGGGAUAACGGUUCGAAAGGACAGCUAAAACCCCAUAAGCUCACGGGACGUAGGACACAGUGAGAAAAGUGUAAGUGCUUGAGGAGGAGGCUGCGGCCCAUCAGGUAGUUGGAGCGGUAACGGCGCACCAAGCCAACGACGGGUAGGGGGCCUGAGAGGGUGAUCCCCCACACUGGGACUGAGACACGGCCCAGACUCCUACGGGAGGCAGCAGUGAGGAAUAUUGGUCAAUGGGCGCAAGCCUGAACCAGCGACGCCGCGUGGGCGAUGAAGGUCUUCGGAUCGUAAAGCCCUUUUUGAGGUGACGAGAACGGACGGUAGCCUCAGAAGAAGUCUCGGCUAACUACGUGCCAGCAGCCGCGGUAAAACGUAGGAGACAAGCGUUAUCCGGAAUUACUGGGCGUAAAGCGCGUGUAGGCGGGUUGGUAAGUGGGUCGUGAAAGCCCCCGGCUAAACUGGGGGAGGUCGAUCCCGACUGCCAGUCUGGAGUUUCCCAGAGGCAGAUGGAAUUCCGGGUGUAGUGGUGAAAUGCGUAGAGAUCCGGAGGAACACCAGUGGCGAAGGCGGUCUGCUGGGGGAAAACUGACGCUGAGACGCGACAGCAUGGGGAGCGAACGGGAUUAGAAACCCCGGUAGUCCAUGCCGUAAACGAUGCCGACUAGGCGUUCCUUGGGGGAAACUCUUGGGAGUGCCAAAGCUAACGCGAUAAGUCGGCCGCCUGGGGAGUACGAUCGCAAGGUUAAAACUCAAAGGAAUUGACGGGGGCCCGCACAAGCAGCGGAGCGUGUGGUUUAAUUCGAGGCUACACGAAGAACCUUACCUAGGCUUGACAUACGAGUGGUAGGGAAGUGAAAGCGGACCGACCUUCGGGAGCUCGUACAGGUGCUGCAUGGCUGUCGUCAGCUCGUGUCGUGAGAUGUUCGGUUAAGUCCGAAAACGAGCGCAACCCUCGGGGCUAGUUACAGGUGUCUAGCGCGACUGCCCGUGACAAACGGGAGGAAGGUGGGGAUGACGUCAAGUCAGCAUGGCCUUUAUGUCUAGGGCUACACACACGCUACAAUGGGCAGUACAAUGGGAAGCGAAGUUGCGAGAUGGAGCGAAUCCUAAAAAGCUGUUCGUAGUUCGGAUUGCAGGCUGCAACUCGCCUGCAUGAAGUCGGAGUUGCUAGUAACCGCGCGUCAGCUAUAGUGCGGUGAAUACGUUCCCGGGCCUUGUACACACCGCCCGUCACGUCAUGGGAGCUGGUCACGCCUGAAGUCGGGGAGCCAACCGCAAGGGAGCUACCGCCGAAGGCAGGGCUGGUGACUGGGACGAAGUCGUAACAAGGUA
rnacentral:rRNA from 1 species